GACCUCGUGGCGCAACGGUAGCGCGUCUGACUCCAAAUUGGCACAAGAUAUCAGCAGUCAGAGCUGAAAAGGGGCUCCCCCCUUGAGGUCC
rnacentral:tRNA from 1 species